rnacentral:rRNA from 1 species
UACGUAGGGUGCAAGCGUUGUCCGGAAUUAUUGGGCGUAAAGAGCUCGUAGGCGGUUCGUCGCGUCGGCUGUGAAAACCUGAGGCUCAACCUCAGGCCUGCAGUCGAUACGGGCGGACUUGAGUACUGCAGGGGAGACUGGAAUUCCUGGUGUAGCGGUGAAAUGCGCAGAUAUCAGGAGGAACACCGAUGGCGAAGGCAGGUCUCUGGGCCACUACUGACGCUGAGGAGCGAAAGCGUGGGGAGCGAACAGG